GAUUCCUGUCUCUUCAUUGUAGUAGCCCUGCACUACGCCUCGCAUGGUUGAUGACAAGCCACGAGACGGCCUGUCUGCAAGAGUAUGUUUGAAACGAAUAUAGAGAAAUGCGAGGAGCACGCCCAGGAUACGGAGAAGUGUAUUCAUGCGUGCAAUAUCCACUGCCCCCGUCACACACCGCGGGAAGUCUCCUCUGAUGAAUUCCAAAGGUGAUGUGUGUCUCACCCAAAAUAUGUGAAUGCACGGCAACGUGCGCGGCAAAGGGCCGAAUAACCUAACCCUACGGUCCGCGCUUCAGCCUACAUCAGCGCCUAUGGCGUAGAACCGCCGUUGUGACCAGCUGCGCCAGCCUCGCCACCUUCAGAAAACAAAGCAGCCAAUCAGCCAGGCAAUUGCGCAACUGUAACCAUAUUCACCGUCGGAGCCUCCCUCUUCCCUGGCACGAAACACGGCGCGUUGUCCUCCCGGCGAUUCGGCAAAUCGGUGGCCUGCCCCAAAGGCAGUCCUGGGACACCCACCCUUUUGACAGAGCCAUGCAAUCAGGCUCGGGUUAUCCACACUCAUGGCACUGAGCUCCUGCUUCGGGUUUAUGAUUGCGCACCGCGGCACGCAAGUACUUCAUCGGGAGCUUCAUUGGGUUGAUUCUCGUGUUGCUCCGCAAAGACCAGUGGUGCCACUUGCGAAAAGCCGUUCUUGCAUGUAUAAGCGAGCAAUCGCUCCACCGCGGCACUGUCCGCCCGGGCUAUUCCGUGUCAAAUGGCUAGGGAGCUUGACAGCGUUGCAGACAAACAACAUGAGCGAAUGUAGCGCCGUCUCGAAUCCCUCAUGAGGCGCUAUCAGGCCCCUGGGUAAUUUCUUGCGCAAGAACCGACUCUGCAGUCUUGCCCGACAAAUCAGUGUAUGUGCCUCCCCACGUCUUCACGUCCGUGAGAGCAAGCGCGCCCUCCACACCGUUGGCUUCCUCGCGCUUUGCAAGACUUUCUUGGUCAGAAGAAUGCGUCCAAAACCCGCUCUCACGUCUCUGUAGGGUUAGCGGUACCUUGUCAGCUUCGUGGUGCAGCUUGAGAAUAACAGACGUCUGACUGAGAAAGGUCUCCUCCACGUUCCCCAGUUCGUUUGCCAAGCGCAUCACCUCGACAGCAGGAGGCCACCAAACUCAUCGAGGGUCGUCUUCGCUGUGUUGUCACCCUCAUCCACGGCCGCCACAGCUUGUGGAGUGGCCUCGACUAACGGUUCCAAAUGUGCUGUAUGCUGGAAUGAGGAUAUUCAUGUCUUUCUCCAAGACUGAGACUUGAGUGGCUAGCUGUCCAUCCUUCGUACAGAUCUGGCCCCCUGUUAGCCUUUCCAUUGUGGCUUUCUCUUCACCGAAGCGACGGUUGAACUGAUGUAAUUUACUUUAAACAUCAACUCGAUUGUUUCUCUCUUCCAGUAGAGCUCAAAAAAUACCUUUUGUGUUUUUGGCGACGUAAACUUGCGAGAAGACACACGGUGACGUUUGUGAAUGUGCAGAAGGAGGCACUAAAAGCCACUGGUGCACUCCAGAUCUGAGAUGCGCAGGGGUGCAAGAAAGAGAGAAACGAAUGUUUUAUGGAAUGAUCCUAUUGUACUGGAGGAAAGUAUAUGAACUUGGUCGUCAUGAUCAUAUGGUUCUUGCCGGCCAUCACGCAGUCAAUUAUGUCACAAGGUUGGGCAAAAAAAAAGAUUUGGAAAUGGCUCAUCUGCAUGUCAAAUGCAGACGACUUCUGUCUAGUGGCCCUUCGCGUAAGCCGCACUGAAGCGUGUGCUGUGCGCAAGUGUCAUUUUAUCAUUGGCAGUGAGGAACUCAUACACGCUGCCUACUGUCGUGCGUGAAGGGAUACUUUCUGUGUCCCUUGUCGGUGUCGCUAUAUCAUGUCUCGACCCUGUUUACUUCUACUUGGUAUUGACGUUGUCUUUGCUCACAUUUCGGGUAG
rnacentral:misc_RNA from 1 species